rnacentral:tmRNA from 1 species
GGGGGUGACAUGGCUUCGACAGGGGAGGCUGGUUCUGUGUUGCAGGCCGCAGCGCCCGGGACUGCGUUAAAACGGGCAAGGCAUACAACUGCCGACGAUUACAAUCCCAUCGCGCUGCCCAUCGCUGCUUAGGCGAUGAGUAGCGUAGCCAGCCUUGCGAGGCUGGCCGUUCGCCCCGCCCGUCUUCACCCGGACGGUCCGGCGGGCGUCACCAAAGGUGAAGUGCGUCCCCGUUGACGCCGAUGAGGCGGGGGCAAAGAGUGAUCGGCUGGUCUGCGCAAGACCGGGUUGGCCAGGCAAUGCGCAGACGAAAAUGAAGAGCCAACUAUGCCUGUAGAAGCACAGGGUUGAAUCUUCUGGACAGCGGUUCGAUUCCGCUCACCUCCACUC